rnacentral:rRNA from 1 species
AGGACGAACGCUGGCGGCGUGCUUAACACAUGCAAGUCACGGGGGCCCGCAAGGGUAACCGGCGAACGGGUGCGUAACACGUGAGCAACCUGCCUAGAUGUGGGGGAUAGCCGGCCCAACGGCCGGGUAAUACCGCAUACGGUCACGAGGAGGAGUCUCCUUGUGAAGAAACCUCCGGGGCAUUUAGAGGGGCUCGCGGCCUAUCAGCUAGUUGGCGGGGUAAUGGCCCACCAAGGCUUCGACGGGUAGCUGGUCUGAGAGGAUGGCCAGCCACAUUGGGACUGAGAGACGGCCCAGACUCCUACGGGAGGCAGCAGUGGGGAAUCUUGCGCAAUGGCCGAAAGGCUGACGCAGCGACGCCGCGUGUGGGAGGACGCCCUUCGGGGUGUAAACCACUGUUGCCCGGGACGAACAUCCACUUUCGAGUGGACUGACGGUACGGUGAGGAAGCACCGGCUAACUCCGUGCCAGCAGCCGC